rnacentral:lncRNA from 1 species
GCAGUGCGUCGCGCCGCUGCCCGCAUCUCCGAGGCCCGCGACGAGCGGUGACUGGGGCGGGCGACGUGGGGGACCCGGGGAUGCGGGCAGACGAUAGGGGGCUGGAGGAUGGGGCGACCCAGAGCGCGCGGGGUCUGGGGCGCGGGGAUGGGGGCCGCGGGCCACGCGACGGGGACCCCAGGGUGCGCGCAGGUGGCGGGGACGCGCGAUGGGGGCCCGGGAAGCUGAGGCUGACCUAGCGCAGGCAUCCCAGGAGGGGAGGUCCCUGACGCUGCGCAGCUGGGAAGGCGUUCGGGAGUGGGUUGCGAUGCUUCCCUGUUUGUUUUCUCCUGACAUCGUUUUUGUUUGGGUCCAGGGGCCUCACGGGAGCUGGAUGCUCGGAGCAGCAAGGCGGCCCUGGGGGCCCCUUCCGGUCCCGGGGCUGACGCCUGGCGGCGUCUCCGGGAACCCGCGCCCUUUCAAGCGCCGCUGGCUCCUGUUUCACAGAUGGAGACCCUGAAGCCCCAACAAGCAGCCUCCCCAGCACCUCCCAGUGACUGAAAAAGCUGGCACUGGGCGCCCGUCUCACUCUCCACCCAGCUCCCAGGCUGCCCCACGGGACCAGCACCUUUGGGGAGAGACGAGACCUGAACAAACGCUGGGGCUGGAUCCCCAGGGUGGGUCAGAACAGCCGUUGCCCUGAAAGCUGGCCCGGACAGAUGCGUGCGGGGCGUGCCACCGGAGCUCCUUCCAGCUUGCGUCUGGGGCCACCAUGUCCCUUCCUCAGGGCACUGGAUCCAUCUCUUCAAGCUCAGUGGUCCAGGCCAUGGUGGCAGAAUCACCCCCCAGGGUGUGACGCCUCGUCCCUGUCAAUUCCACACAGCUGCACCCGGAAGAGCUGUGGCCGGGCGCCGCUCUGACCUGUGUGCGGUCCCCUGAAUGGGUCUCAGGUGUCUUCAGAAUGGGACACCUCCUUGCUCAUCUGGCAGCAGCAACAGCAGAAGUUGGAGUCGGUGCCACCUGGGACGUACCUGAGCAGGAGCCGAAGCAUGUGGUACUCACAGUAUGGAAAUGAGGCCAUCUUGGUCCGAGACAAAAACAAGCUCGAGGUCUCUAGGGACACAGGGCAGUCCAAGUUUUGCACAAUUAUGUAAUUCCGAUGUGAGCACCUGAACCCAGGACCACACUUUGAGGAAAACAGACCUGAGUUUCAUUCAGUUGUCUUGUUGAUUUCCAAUCCUUGCUGGAAGAUUUUGAAUAAUGAACGUGAAGAUCAAACUGUGGUGUAAGAACCCAAGAAGCGCAGAAUUGGCCCCCGAACCCCUCAGCACAGCCGCGGUGUGACUGGUGCACAGGACACUUCCCCUCUAGAGUCCCCUCCGUGCUGUGCAAGUUCAUUCGCAAACGUCCUAGAAGUGGAACUGCUGGGUCAAAGUGCAUUCCCCAAAUGUCCUGCCAGAGGCCUGGUCGGCAGCAGCCUCCUGCACAGCCCGAGUCCCUUCUGCGAGAGUCCUGGCUUGUUUGCAGCCUGCAGCUGGGAGAUUUGAAGUCAGACUUCCAGGAUUGCCGCAUGGAGCUGCAGAGGGAGUGAGCAUGGGGCUGGAGGACCUGCCCCGCCGGCUGACACUCCCACAGCAAGGCGG